rnacentral:tRNA from 1 species
UCCCUGGUGGUCUAAUGUAUAAGACUCUGCACUCCCAAUGCAGGGCCCUGGGUUCCAUCCCUGGGCAGGGAA